UACGUAGGGUGCGAGCGUUAAUCGGAAUUACUGGGCGUAAAGCGUGCGCAGGCGGUUCGUUGUGUCGGUGGUGAAAGCCCCGGGCUUAACCUGGGAAUGGCCAUGGAAACUGGCGAACUGGAGUGUGGCAGAGGGGGGUGGAAUUCCGCGUGUAGCAGUGAAAUGCGUAGAGAUGCGGGGGAACACCGAUGGCGAAGGCAGCCCCCUGGGCUAGCACUGACGCUCAGGCACGAAAGCGUGGGGAGCAAACAGG
rnacentral:rRNA from 1 species